rnacentral:rRNA from 1 species
UACGUAGGGGGCGAGCGUUGUCCGGAUUUAUUGGGCGUAAAGAGCGUGUAGGCGGCCAGGUAGGUCUGCUGUGAAAACUCGAGGCUCAACCUCGAGACGUCGGCGGAAACCAUCUGGCUAGAGUCCGGAAGAGGAGAGUGGAAUUCCUGGUGUAGCGGUGAAAUGCGCAGAUAUCAGGAAGAACACCCGUGGCGAAGGCGGCUCUCUGGGACGGUACUGACGCUGAGACGCGAAAGCCGUGGGGAGCGAACAGG